AUUGAACGCUGGCGGCAGGCUUAACACAUGCAAGUCGAGCGAGCGGCGGACGGGUGAGUAAUGUCGGGGAAACUGCCUGAUGGAGGGGGAUACCUACUGGAAACGGUAGCUAAUACCGCAUACCAUCAGAUGUGCCCAGGUGGGAUUUGCUCGUAGGUGGGGUAAUGGCUCCCCUAGGCGACGAGCCCUAGCUGGUCUGAGAGGAUGACCAGCCAAACUGGAACUGAGACACGGACCAGACGCCUACGGGAGGCAGCAGUGGGGAAUAUUGCACAAUGGGCGAAAGCCUGAAGCAGCCAUGCCGCGUGGGUGAGGAAGGCCUUCGGUUUGUAAAGCUCUUUCAGCGGGGAGGCGGUACUCGCAGAAGAAGCACCGGCUAACUCCGUGCCAGCAGCCGCGGUAAUUC
rnacentral:rRNA from 1 species